rnacentral:sRNA from 1 species
UCACCGAGUUUUGCUUUGUUCAUUUUGCGACUACGACCAAUAGUCAAUGGAUCCAACGACUAAUCGAGCAAAACUUUCAUUCAUUAAAUUUUUUCAGCGAUUAAUCAUUUUUUUUACUAUGGGGUCCGAUUGGUGAUCACUUUUUAAAAAAGGAAUGGACAAGAACAACAUGUUUCUUAUUGUUCCUCUUUUUUUUCACCAUUCAGCGGUAAUUUUUUUUCCAAAUUGUAACAUGUGGACCCCACAUUAUUCCUAUUCAUUUCUUAUUUUUUGAGGAAUCGUAGAAGAAAAUUGUUCCUUCCCAAAUUUGAUGAGAAACAAACAGGAAAACAAAUUAAAUAUUUAUAAAUUAAAA